rnacentral:misc_RNA from 1 species
GAGUUCAUGCCCCUCGGGGUAGAUCUCCCACCCUUUGUAUACCAUACCUCUGUUGCUUUGGCGGGCCGCCUAGCUACUGGCUUCGGCUGGUAAGUGCCCGUCAGAGGACCCAAAACCCUGAAUACUAGUGUCGUCUGAGUAAAAUUUUAAUAUUUAAAACUUUCAACAACGGAUCUCUUGGCUCU